rnacentral:tRNA from 1 species
ACUCACUUAGCUCAGUUGGUUAGAGCAAGAUGCUUAUAUCAUCAAGGUCAAGGGUUCAAGUCCUUUAGUGAGUA